UUUCAGCCUCCAUAGCGCAGCUGCGCUGGCGUGCCUAAUACAUGCAAGGCGAGCGGAAGAAUGGGAGCUUGCUCCCUGUUGUUAGCGGCGGACGGGUGAGUAACACGUGGGUAACCUGCCUGUAAGACUGGGAUAACUCCGGGAAACCGGGGCUAAUACCGGAUGGUUGUUUGAACCGCAUGGUUCAAACAUAAAAGGUGGCUUCGGCUACCACUUACAGAUGGACCCGCGGCGCAUUAGCUAGUUGGUGAGGUAAUGGCUCACCAAGGCAACGAUGCGUAGCCGACCUGAGAGGGUGAUCGGCCACACUGGGACUGAGACACGGCCCAGACUCCUACGGGAGGCAGCAGUAGGGAAUCUUCCGCAAUGGACGAAAGUCUGACGGAGCAACGCCGCGUGAGUGAUGAAGGUUUUCGGAUCGUAAAGCUCUGUUGUUAGGGAAGAACAAGUACCGUUCGAAUAGGGCGGUACCUUGACGGUACCUAACCAGAAAGCCACGGCUAACUACGUGCCAGCAGCCGGUUAAAUAA
rnacentral:rRNA from 1 species